rnacentral:rRNA from 1 species
UACGUAGGGCGCAAGCGUUGUCCGGAAUCAUUGGGCGUAAAGAGCUCGUAGGCGGCCUGUUGCGUCCGCUGUGAAAUCCCGGGGCUUAACCCCGGGCGUGCAGUGGAUACGGGCUGGCUGGAGGCAGGCAGGGGAGAACGGAAUUCCCGGUGUAGCGGUGAAAUGCGCAGAUAUCGGGAGGAACACCGGUGGCGAAGGCGGUUCUCUGGGCCUGUACUGACGCUGAGGCGCGAAAGCGUGGGGAGCAAACAGG